rnacentral:lncRNA from 1 species
GGGAGAGCACGGAGAGGGAGAGGGGAGAGCAAAAGAGGAGAGGAGAAAAGAGAGAGGGGGGAAAGGGUUUCGUGCGAAGGGACAUCGAAUUGACGUGCAUUGAAUGCAGAACUAUUAACGAUGAAAAUUUUCAUCGCUAAUAAAUUAUUAGCAAUGAAAAAUUAUUUUCAUCGUCAAUAAUUCUCGUCAAAGAAAAAAUUUUCCAUUAACAAAAUUUUUUCUCUAAAAAAAAUUAUUCACAACAAAAAAAAUUUCAUUGUUAAUAACAUUAU